rnacentral:lncRNA from 1 species
GCCGCCCCCAGGAGUGAUUGCGCCUGGGCUUGCGCUGCGCGCUUUGAAAGUUUAAAUUAGCUUCGUGAUAAAGCUAAACUGCAGCGUCGACACGCAGAAUCAUUGAAAACAACUUACGUUACAGCUAGCAAGCGGUACAUGUGGAGAUGACAAGGUGAAGCGCUGCUCCAAUCGAUCGGAGCGUUGAAAAGGCCGUAAGUAACGCAUCGGGAACUUCCAAAGAUGAAGGCCUCACCUAGGGAUCGUCAGUUACCCCUGCCUCAAAGUCAAGAGUCUGACAAACCUUCAUCUGUUCAAGAAGAACCGUGAAGAAAACAGAACACAUGCCAACCUGUGUUACGAAAUUAUUAAAUACUUGAGCCUUGCUCACAAUGAACAAUAAGCAGGAAGGACUUAUAUAGGAUUGAGCUCUUUAUGCUUGUACCUUACGUUAUGUGCUCAUUCACAGUAAACUCGUGCCCUUCCUGUUUCUUCUUCAUUGUGAACAAGGCUCCCAUGUGAACUUUGUAAUGUGAAGUUUUUUAAUAAUUUGUUCACCUUGGCCGGCGUAUGUUCUGUUUUCCUCAUAACUCUGCUGCCUUACGUCUGCCAACUACAUCUUGUACCUGCAAGUUUCCUCACCUCAUCGGGCCACAAAAGUGUCUGCUGCCCAUGACAAUGCUUCUCUUCUCCUGGAACCUAUUCCAUUACUCUAAACAGACCAUCGGUCAUCGUCACACAUUACAUGCCCUGCACAACUCAACCUAUUUAUUGUAAACUCAAGUAGAAUAUCAGCUAGCUGCAUUCGGCUCUCUGGCCCGUACUGCGGUCUUCCUGCUUCCUAAUGUUACAUUUUUCGUUUUCUGUUCCAAUGCUCAUUGUGUGGCCCAUAGCUUUUUCUCAAGCUAAGUACGGUAGAUGUUGAGCAUUCCUUUUCUCUUGGACACAAGCUAAUAGUCAUGAAAAUAGGCACAGCAUGAAACCCAGAAAUCUUGGAAUGGUGCUUGUUUGUUGCUGCUUUCUCAAAUUUUACCGUGGCAUCUAAUCACACUAGAUUUCAGAUCAGCCUUGUGACCUAUGCAA